rnacentral:tRNA from 1 species
GGCCAGCGGGCUGCGCGGGCAUCUGCUGCGAUUAGGGUUCGCGGGGUUCAUCGAGAUCGCCCUGCUGAUCGCCGCGGCGACCAGCCUC